GUAGGUUAUGGCGAUUUAUUCCCCUCUACGUAUUUCGGAAAAAUGGUUGGUGCACUUUGUGCGAUAUCCGGUGUGCUUGUGAUAGCACUUCCUGUACCUGUUAUAGUUAGUAAU
rfam:Polyorchis penicillatus potassium channel homolog (jShak2) mRNA, complete cds.